rnacentral:rRNA from 1 species
AUUGAACGCUGGCGGCAUGCCUAACACAUGCAAGUCGAACGGCAGCACAGCAGUAGCAAUACUGUGGGUGGCGAGUGGCGGACGGGUGAGGAAUACGUCGGAAUCUGCCCAGUCGUGGGGGAUAACUAGCCGAAAGGUUAGCUAAUACCGCAUACGACCGAGAGGUGAAAGCGGGGGACCGCAAGGCCUCGCGCGAUUGGAUGAGCCGACGUCGGAUUAGCUAGUUGGCGGGGUAAAGGCCCACCAAGGCGACGAUCCGUAGCUGGUCUGAGAGGAUGAUCAGCCACACUGGAACUGAGACACGGUCCAGACUCCUACGGGAGGCAGCAGUGGGGAAUAUUGGACAAUGGGCGCAAGCCUGAUCCAGCAAUGCCGCGUGUGUGAAGAAGGCC